rnacentral:rRNA from 1 species
CCUACGGGUGGCUGCAGUGGGGAAUAUUGGACAAUGGGCGAAAGCCUGAUCCAGCCAUGCCGCGUGUGUGAAGAAGGCCUUCGGGUUGUAAAGCACUUUCAGUGGGGAAGAAAGCCUUGGGGCUAAUACCCUCGAGGAAGGACAUCACCCACAGAAGAAGCACCGGCUAACUCCGUGCCAGCAGCAGCGGUAAUACGGAGGGUGCGAGCGUUAAUCGGAAUUACUGGGCGUAAAGCGCGCGUAGGCGGUCUGAUAAGCCGGUUGUGAAAGCCCCGGGCUCAACCUGGGAACGGCAUCCGGAACUGUCAGGCUAGAGUGCAGGAGAGGAAGGUAGAAUUCCCGGUGUAGCGGUGAAAUGCGUAGAGAUCGGGAGGAAUACCAGUGGCGAAGGCGGCCUUCUGGACUGACACUGACGCUGAGGUGCGAAAGCGUGGGUAGCAAACAGGAUUAGAUACCCCUGUAGUC